rnacentral:rRNA from 1 species
CCUACGGGUGGCAGCAGCGGGGAAUAUUGCACAAUGGGCGAAAGCCUGAUGCAGCGACGCCGCGUGGGGGAUGAAGGCUCUCGGGUUGUAAACCCCUUUCAGCAGGGACGAAAUCAGACGGUACCUGCAGAAGAAGCCCCGGCCAACUACGUGCCAGCAGCCGCGGUAACACGUAGGGGGCGAGCGUUGUCCGGAUUUAUUGGGCGUAAAGAGCUCGUAGGCGGUUCGAUAAGUCGGGUGUGAAAACUCUGGGCUCAACUCAGAGACGCCACCCGAUACUGUCGUGACUGGAGUCUGGUAGGGGAGUGUGGAAUUCCCGGUGUAGCGGUGAAAUGCGCAGAUAUCGGGAGGAACACCAGUGGCGAAGGCGGCACUCUGGGCCAGUACUGACGCUGAGGAGCGAAAGCGUGGGGAGCGAACAGGAUUAGAUACCCUAGUAG